AAGAGAUUAUUUUUCAAGCUUCUAACUUGAUUUAGGGGAAUCUUUUUCUCCAUCUCUU
rnacentral:tRNA from 1 species